rnacentral:rRNA from 1 species
GAUGAACGCUGGCGGCGUGCCUAACACAUGCAAGUCGAGCGGAGGAACGCGGCUCUUGCUUGGCUGAUGUUAGGGGCGGGUGGGUGAGUCACACGUGUAUACCCCACCUUUGAGGCUGAGAUAGCGUCGGGGGAGCGUAUCUAGCACAGGAUAAUAUUGUGAACGGCAUGGAUCUUGAGUCAACGCGGUUCUUGCUGAGACUUGUUCACGGAUCCGCGCUGCAUUAGCUAGGUGGUAAGGUAACGACAUACCAUGGCAACUAUGCGUAGACGAGCUGAGAGGGUGAUCGGCCACACGGGAACUGAGACACGGUCCAGACUCCUACGGGAGGCAGCAGUGGGGAAUCUUCCGCAAUGGGCGAAAGCCUGAUAGAGCAAUGCCGCGUGAGUGAUGAAGGUCUUCGGAUCGUAAAGCUCUGUAAUUAGGGAGGAACAUAUGUAGAAGUAACAGUGCAUAUCUUGACGGUACCUAAACAAAAAGCCCCGGCUAACUACGUG